CGAAAACCUCCCUAACCCCCGACAGCCCGUUUGUUUCACGAGUUUUGCACAGCCCAAUCCCUUCUAUCCACGGGUCUCCCAACCCUCGAGGGCGCACGCAGGGAAUGCGAGAACGCGCCGCCGCCACUGAGAGGAGGCGCCACGCCGCCACCGAGAGGAGCGCCCCGCCACCGGAUCUUCACCUUGCCACUGCCGCCAGAGCGUCGACGUCCUCCUCCGCCAGUUCUCCCCGAGGCACCCAAAGAAUGGAGUCUGAGGAGCCAUGUGAGCUUGUUGGCUAUAUAUGAAGUCACUGACAUACAAUGUACACUGUUGAUGGUGAACUUGUAGGCCAUGGUAUCAAUGACCUGUUGUGGUUGUGAUAAACUGUUGUUGUUGUUAUGAUAAAUUAUGAUUGUUGGCAUUUGGUGAUUCCAAGUCAUACUGUUAUGAUAAAUUAUAUUGUUGUUGUGAUGAGAUAUCAUGUUGUUAUAAGGGGAGUUAGUUACAUUGUA